rnacentral:rRNA from 1 species
UACGUAGGGUGCAAGCGUUAAUCGGAAUUACUGGGCGUAAAGCGUGCGCAGGCGGUUUUGUAAGUCUGUCGUGAAAUCCCCGGGCUCAACCUGGGAAUUGCGAUGGAGACUGCAAGGCUAGAAUCUGGCAGAGGGGGGUAGAAUUCCACGUGUAGCAGUGAAAUGCGUAGAGAUGUGGAGGAACACCGAUGGCGAAGGCAGCCCCCUGGGUCAAGAUUGACGCUCAUGCACGAAAGCGUGGGGAGCAAACCGG